rnacentral:rRNA from 1 species
GUGUCAGCAGCCGCGGUAAUACGUAGGGGGCAAGCGUUGUCCGGAAUUACUGGGCGUAAAGGGUGUGUAGGCGGUCGCGUAAGUCAGUGGUGAAAGCUCCGGGCUCAACUCGGAAACAGCCGCUGAUACUACCUGACUUGAGGGCAGGAGAGGAGAUCGGAACUUUCGGUGUAGCGGUAGAAUGCGUAGAUAUCGAAAGGAACGCCAAUAGCGAAGGCAGAUCUCUGGAAUGUUCCUGACGCUGAAACACGAAAGCUGGGGGAGCAAACAGGAUUAGAUACCCGUGUAGUCC